AUUUUGGUCUUUUGGACCACUAGGCUGAUAUACGCAGCUGAGUUUAUCAACUCAGAAAGAAGGAAACAAAAGAGCAAAGAAACAAUCUCUCUCUCCCUCACAUUUUCUCUCAUUCUCUCUCACUAAGUGAUUGAAUUUUUGGAGAAACUCUUGAUCCUUUGAGUCUGAGGCAAGUUUUUGGUGGGAUUGGAAGCUUAGAAGCUUAGGGAAACAACUGAGAUUCGAAUUCUAUCAUAGCUCUCUCUAUUUGCCUUUUCCCGGAUUUCCUCUCUCUCUUCUCUCUACCGCCUGCGUCUUCACAAAGCCCGACCACUGCCAUGCUACUGCUCACCGUCGACACGUGCCAAACCAGGCGAUGUAGGAGCUCAACGACCUUUGACACCCGACACGUUUUCUCUCACUCGGAGCAAAAUGACCACCACCACUGUACUCCUCGUGGUCUAAGCUUCAAAACCCACCCAACGAUUGACCUCACUAAUGGUCGGAAAAAAAGAAAGGAGUAUUCGUCAGAAUAUAUGGAGGUUUGAAACUUCCAAGAGCGAAUUUGACCAUUCUAGCACGUUCCAAGAGAAACCACCACCACCAUUACGUUUCAUGAGCUUUGGGCUACGAAGCCCAAUCAUAAUUUUCCCAAACCACAACCUUGGGUGGUGGCUUUGCCGUACGUUGUCGGAGCUCCACCAUGAGUCAUGACCGGUGACCACCAUAGGGGCUUCUGAGCCUCUUUUCGAGCUCCACAGAGCACAACUCAACUCAUGACGGGUUCAGAAUUUGUUGGUGUGGCUUAAUACUUGGACAUCUUAUGGGCUUCGAACUCAGUAGCAAGGAAUUUUAUGAAUAAGAUUUUCAGAAGUACAAUAUUAUUGCAUAAGAUUAGUUUAAUUCAAAUUUAAAAAUAACCAAGUGUUAUUAAAGUUCUAAACUUUAAAAUUUUACGCAUUUUUUAUAGACUUUGAGUUAUGGUUUUAGUGUUAGAUGCCUGACAUAUUUGUAGGAUUUUUCCUAUGAGUGUGCGAUAGACGUACCCAACAUAGUGGGACGUUACAAGUGGUUUCUAUGUAGACUUUAGAAGAAUAGGUUUUAGUGACAAGUAUUGCUAUAGAGCUCCGCCACAAGACAGGCCACACGUGAAUGGUUUGUCUGUAAGAGUUCUGUUUAAUUUAAGUGUAUGCUUAUGAUG